GAAGUUUUCAGAGAUGAGAAUGUGCCUUCGGGAACCGUGAGACAGGUGCUGCAUGGCUGUCGUCAGCUCGUGUUGUGAAAUGUUGGGUUAAGUCCCGCAACGAGCGCAACCCUUAUCCUUUGUUGCCAGCGAUUAGGUCGGGAACUCAAAGGAGACUGCCAGUGAUAAACUGGAGGAAGGUGGGGAUGACGUCAAGUCAUCAUGGCCCUUACGACUAGGGCUACACACGUGCUACAAUGGCGCAUACAAAGAGAAGCGACCUCGCGAGAGCAAGCGGACCUCAUAAAGUGCGUCGUAGUCCGGAUUGGAGUCUGCAACUCGACUCCAUGAAGUCGGAAUCGCUAGUAAUCGUGGAUCAGAAUGCCACGGUGAAUACGUUCCCGGGCCUUGUACACACCGCCCGUCACACCAUGGGAGUGGGUUGCAAAAGAAGUAGGUAGCUUAACCUUCGGGAGGGCGCUUACCACUUUGUGAUUCAUGACUGGGGUGAAGUCGUAACAAGGUAACCGUAGGGGAACCUGCGGUUGGAUCACCUCCUUACCUGAAAGAA
rnacentral:rRNA from 2 species